AUUGAACGCUGGCGGCAGGCCUAACACAUGCAAGUCGAACGAGUGGCGGACGGGUGAGUAAUGUCUGGGAAACUGCCUGAUGGCGGGGGAUAACUAAUGGAAACGGUAGCUAAUACCGCAAACCAUCAGAUGUGCCCAGAUGGGAUUAGCUUGUUGGUGGGGUAACGGCUCACCAAGGCGAAGCUCACUAGCUGGUCUGAGAGGAGGACCGGCCACACUGGAACUGAGACACGGUCCAGACUCCUACGGGAGGCAGCAGUGGGGAAGAUUGCACAAUGGGCGAAAGCCGGAUGCAGCCAUGCCGCGUGUGUGAUGAAGGCCUUCGGGUGGUAAAGUACUGUCAGCAGGGAGGCGUUACCCACAGAAGAAGCACCGGCUAACUCCGUGCCAGCAGCCGCGGUAAUAC
rnacentral:rRNA from 1 species